rnacentral:rRNA from 1 species
GGAUUGACACAUCGGUCGUGCCUUAAGGGGUAUGAACUGGCGUAGCCAAUUCCUCACCUUCUGGUGAAUUGUGAUGCCUCUUUAACUGGGUGUUUCAAUGAACUAGGACUUUUACUUUGAAAAAAUUAGAGUGUUUAAAGCAGGCAUUUUGCUUGAAUACAUUAGCAUGGAAUAAUAAAAUAGGACGGAUGGUUCUAUUUUGUUGGUUUCUAGGAUCACCGUA